GAUGAAGAACGUAGCGAAAUGCGAUAAGUAAUGUGAAUUGCAGAAUUCAGUGAAUCAUCGAAUCUUUGAACGCACAUUGCGCCCCCUGGUAUUCCGGGGGGCAUGCCUGUCCGAGCGUCAUUACAACCCUCAAGCUCAGCUUGGUGUUGGGCCCCGCCGCCCCGGCGGGCCCUAAAGUCAGUGGCGGUGCCGUCCGGCUCCGAGCGUAGUAAUUCUUCUCGCUCUGGAGGUCCGGUCGUGUGCUCGCCAGCAACCCCCAAUUUUUUUCAGGUUGACCUCGGAUCAGGUAGGGAUACCCGCUGAACUUAAGCAUAUCAAUAUGCGGAGGA
rnacentral:misc_RNA from 1 species